rnacentral:rRNA from 1 species
UACAGAGGGUGCGAGCGUUGUUCGGAAUUAUUGGGCGUAAAGGGCGCGUAGGCGGUGCGGUAAGUCACCUGUGAAAUCUCCUGGCUCAACUGGGAGCUUGCAGGCGAAACUGCCGUGCUGGAGUGUGGGAGAGGUGCGUGGAAUUCCCGGUGUAGCGGUGAAAUGCGUAGAUAUUGGGAGGAACACCAGUGGCGAAGGCGGCUCACUGGACUGGUACUGACGCUGAGGCGCGAAAGCGUGGGGAGCAAACGGG